rnacentral:lncRNA from 1 species
CCAUCCAAAAGCCCAAUCCUCACUGAUCCUUCCUGGGUCCAGAAGUCCACGACAUGGGGAAGGUGCACCAAUAAUUGGUAUCAGAGCACGGAUUGUGUGGUGAAGAAAAUAGAUGCCAGAAGUUGAAUAUCUUCAAAGGCUGAAAUUUCAACAAAGACCCUGUCAAGGUAUUUCUCAAAUCCCUUGGAGUUUUGGUUGUGUUUUGGUUUGGAUCC